GAUGAACGCUGGCGGCGUGCCUAAUACAUGCAAGUCGAGCGAACAGAUGAGGAGCUUGCUCCUCUGACGUUAGCGGCGGACGGGUGAGUAACACGUGGAUAACCUACCUAUAAGACUGGGAUAACUUCGGGAAACCGGAGCUAAUACCGGAGAAUAUAUUGAACCGCAUGGUUCAAUAGUGAAAGACGGUUUUGCUGUCACUUCUAGAUGGAUCCGCGCCGCAUUAGCUAGUUGGUAAGGUAACGGCUUACCAAGGCAACGAUGCGUAGCCGACCUGAGAGGGUGAUCGGCCACACUGGAACUGAGACACGGUCCAGACUCCUACGGGAGGCAGCAGUCGGGAAUCUUCCGCAAAGGGCGAAAGCCUGACGGAGCAACGCCGCGUGAGUGAUGAAGGUCUUCGGAUCGUAAAACUCUGUUAUUAGGGAAGAACAAAUGUGUAAGUAAAUAUGCACGUCUUGACGGUACCUAAUCAGAAAGCCACGGCUAACUACGUG
rnacentral:rRNA from 1 species